rnacentral:lncRNA from 1 species
CCUACCCAAGAUUUAUACUUUAAUUUUUUUUGUUUCCUGUUAGUUAUCAUCACAUCAGGAUUUAAGAGAACAAGGUCCGCAUUUACCCACACAGGUGACAAUCAGGACCAAUUGCAAGUCUGUCAAUAGUGCUGAUCUGCGUCUACCUGAAGUGGCUACUUGUACACAAAUCCACACCUGCCAGAUCUGCACCAACUCAGAACCGAGGCAGGAGAGAGAAAAUACUGACCCACUUACAGCGUUGGUGCCACCCGACUCCUCAGCCGCCCGGAAGCCGAUCGUCUGCCUUUCCCCACCGCGUCAGCGCCGUGUCCCGAGCUGAAGGCCGGCGAGGAUGGCGCAGGCAGAGCUUGGUUUCACGGACAAGCAGUUCAGAGUCACGUUCGAGGCAAUUUUUCCAGUUAGGAUGGCUGACUCAAAUUUCAGUUUUUCUUUGCUUCUCGGUUUUGAGGUACCAGAUGUGCUAAGCAUAAUAUGACAUAUUGUUAUCUUUAUUUAUUAGUCUCUGAGAAUUAAUUAUCUUUAGCUGAUACGAAGCUCGCCUCUCCCCCAGUCACUGCGUGAUUGCUGUUUCAACAGAGAAGUCAAAGAAAAAGAUCAAGGUUUAGGGGCCCUCUCAAGCUUUUGCUCUCAUUUGACAUCCAGGAUUUCAUCUAUUGUUCACGCCAGUCAAUAACAAUUUGCCUGAAAUUCCAUUUUAAUGCUGUGAAGAUGACUGUGUCUCUCUCUGAAAUGCCGUUAGGUCCACCAGGUCAUUGACACAACAGAAAAACCAUAUUUCAGUCCUUUAUUAGUUGUAACUGACUUCUGCCAUCAUUUAGGAAAAAGAGAUAAAUAUAUGUGUGCAUAUAUAUAUAUAUAUAUACAUAUAUAUAUAUAUA